GCAUAAUUCUCAUGCAUGAAUGAUUAUCCUCCGACGAUGGCAGAAGAGUCAUAUCAAGAUUCGGGCUCAUCAAUGCCUGAAUACUCGGAUGAAAUUCGCCGAAUGAUUGACAUUCAGAUAGGAAAUGAUAUCAAGAAACUCUCUCUUACCGAAGAUAUGCUUCAAAAUGCACUAGACGAAAAGGCACGGAUAGAACAAGAGUUAUCAACCGCUAGCACUGAAGCCCCAUCAAGAAUACAGAGUGCCCUUCUAGAGGCAACAGCAGCUACGGAACGCUUGGAUGACUUGACAGCAGACUACAAACAAACCAGACGUCUGGUAACGAGUCAGGUGACCCAAGCUGAGCCAAUGGUGACACACCUAGUUGGUCUGACAAACCAAGUACAGGAGCUAGAGAGAUGUAUGGAGUACUUGAAAUGGAUGGCUAUGGUUGAAGAUCUAAGCACUGAAAUCCAAGGCUCACUCCUGGUGAACUCAGCCCCGUUUGCCUUGUUUCACAGCUCCGUCGUCCAGCAGUCCCUGUCGGCCAAUGCCAUGCCCAGUGCGGUGGAACACUUUGCCAGACUUGCUAAGGUCAGCCAUGCUCUACAGGGGUCAACCUGCGUUAACCUGGUGGACUUUGUGGAUCGGACCGUGCUCUUCUGGCAUAAGAUCCUCAAGGAGAAACUAGAAAGUGAGUUUGAGGAGGUUUUGAAGUUACUUGGCUGGCCCUUUGUGUCGUCUACUGCUCCUCUCCCCGCUGCUAACCUGACUGAACUCACAGCUAAACUCAAGGUAUUACUCCUACAACUCAUCAAGCUACAGCUUCCAGAAGCAUUGGCAGCUGAAGACGAGACAUCUCAAGAUUACCUCAUCAUUCCAGGAUCAACCCCUCUGCUCCUACCUCUCCAGUUACUCCUUCAGCCUCUCAAGAAGAGAUUCAAAUAUCACUUCUAUGGCAAGAAACUCACUAACAGCAUUGAUAAGCCUGAAUGGUAUUUCACCCAGAUAUUGAAUUGGAUCAGAGACCAUUCUGAGUUUCUUCAGAGCAAUGUUCAACCAAUAUUAAGUGAAGACAAAACUCUCAAUAUAGAAGCAAGGACUGAGUUUACCCGAGGUCUUCUCCACACUGUAGCGGCCAAACUCAAACAUGACAUUCCAGAGCUUCUCUUCGAUGACCAGCUCCUCUGCCAUACCAUUGAUGAACUACUGCUGUUUGAUAAAGAGCUGAGGAACUCUUACCACUAUCCAAACAACCAACCUGGAUGCUUACAUAUACUCACUGAACAGGCUUGCUUUGAUAAGUGGAUUGCUAUAGAGAGACAGUUUGCAGGUCAGAAGCUGGAUACUCUUUUCUCGUCGCCCUCAGCUUGGCAGUCACAGUAUAAGGGUAUGAUGGAAGCAGAUGAAUCCAAGGUGCCUGAAUGUGUAGAAUCAUUCAUGACACUCUUACUCGUUAUUACAGAGCGUUACAAGGUGCUGCCGUCCCCGUCCCAUCAUCUCAGAUUCCUUGACCUUCAGAUUGACCUCUUGGAUGACUUCCGGGUCAGGUUGCUUCAGGUCAUGAGGCAGGAGGCAUCCAAUCCGCUAGGAGACCACUAUGCUGCCAUCUUGAAUGGAGUUCAUUAUAUCAUCAUGGUGCUGGGAGAAUGGUCUGACCAAGUGUUCUUCUUGCAGCUACAGUACUUUGGGAAGGAGCAAUCUCGUAUGGAGAGUCUCAAUGCACAGCUAGCAGAAGGGAAGUCCCCAAGCUUACCAACGUUACUUGCUGGCAGUCCUACUGAAGCCCUGUCAGGGACGGUCUUUGAUGAGAUUCUCUCCUUGUUUGAGCUACUCUGUCAGGAUAUGUGUUCCACCAUAGAGAAGAGAGUAGUCAAUGAAAUCAAGGACAAGGCCAGAGCUUAUCAGAAAGAAAAGUGGUUUUCCAUGCCCUCUCCGAAGGACUUCAUAGUACCAGCACUGUCCAUGACAGCUUGUGAUAUGCUGCAGAGUCUGAAAGAGAGACUACAUCUCUUGAGAGAGCAGCUCUCACCAGCUCUCUUUGAUAAGCUAUGGCAGGAUAUCUCAAGCAAACUCAACAAGUUUCUCUUCCAAGAGGUGAUCCUGACUAACCAGUUUAAUGAAGGUGGUGCAACACAGAUUCAGUUUGAUAUGACAAGAGGUCUGUUCCCAUUGUAUUUGUAGGUGAUCCUGACUAACCAGUUUAAUGAAGGUGGUGCAACACAGAUUCAGUUUGAUAUGACAAGAGGUCUGUUCCCAUUGUAUUUGUAGGUGAUCCUGACUAACCAGUUUAAUGAAGGUGGUGCAACACAGAUUCAGUUUGAUAUGACAAGAGGUCUGUUCCCAUUGUAUUUGUAGGUGAUCCUGACUAACCAGUUUAAUGAAGGUGGUGCAACACAGAUUCAGUUUGAUAUGACAAGAGGUCUGUUCCCAUUGUAUUUGUAGGUGAUCCUGACUAACCAGUUUAAUGAAGGUGGUGCAACACAGAUUCAGUUUGAUAUGACAAGAGGUCUGUUCCCAUUGUUUGGAGAGUUCACUCA